UGAGCAACGAUUAUUCGUAUCUUUACAACGCCAAAAACACGGUAAAAAAAACGUUGUGGCGCAGUUAUUGAAGCUGGAGGACAUCAUUUUGAACAUUUAUUAUAAUUUCCGUGAGAUGAUGUUACUUUGUAAUGUUCAUUUUUAUAUCAUUUUUUUUUUAUUUGAAGAAAUAAACGAUUUUUUUACUAUUACAAAUUGUGUUGCAA